rnacentral:tRNA from 1 species
AAGAAUUUAAGUUAAAAAAACUAAUAGCCUUCAAAGCUUUAAAUGGUCUAAACCAAUUCUUA